rnacentral:tRNA from 1 species
GCGCCAGUAGCUCAGCAGGAUAGAGCACUUCCCUCCUAAGGAAGGGGCCGGGGGUUCGAAUCCCUUCUGGCGCACCA